rnacentral:rRNA from 1 species
AGUGAACGCUGGCGGUAGGCCUAACACAUGCAAGUCGAACGGCAGCACAGUAAGAGCUUGCUCUUACGGGUGGCGAGUGGCGGACGGGUGAGGAAUACACCGGAAUCUACUUUUUCGUGGGGGAUAACGUAGGGAAACUUACGCUAAUACCGCAUACGACCUACGGGUGAAAGCAGGGGAUCUUCGGACCUUGCGCGAUUGAAUGAGCCGAUGUCGGAUUAGAUGGUUGGCGGGGUAAAGGCCCACCAAGGCGGCGAUCCGUAGCUGGUCUGAGAGGAUGGUCGGCCACACUGGAACUGGGACAGGGUCCAGACUCCUACGGGAGGCAGCAGUGGGGAAUAUUGGACAAUGGGCGCAAGCCUGAUCCAGCCAUACCGCGUGGGUGAAGAAGGCCUUCGGGUUGUAAAGCCCUUUUGUUGGGAAAGAAAAGCAGCAGGUUAAUACCCCGCUGUUCUGACGGUACCCAAAGAAUAAGCACCGGCUAACUUCGUG